GAUUAAGUUAUUAAGGGCGCACGGUGGAUGCCUUGGCACUAGAAGCCGAUGAAGGACGUUACUAACGACGAUAUGCUUUGGGGAGCUGUAAGUAAGCUUUGAUCCAGAGAUUUCCGAAUGGGGAAACCCAGCAUGAGUUAUGUCAUGUUAUCGAUAUGUGAAUACAUAGCAUAUCAGAAGGCACACCCGGAGAACUGAAACAUCUUAGUACCCGGAGGAAGAGAAAGAAAAUUCGAUUCCCUUAGUAGCGGCGAGCGAAACGGGAAGAGCCCAAACCAACAAGCUUGCUUGUUGGGGUUGUAGGACACUCUAUACGGAGUUACAAAGGACGACAUUAGACGAAUCAUCUGGAAAGAUGAAUCAAAGAAGGUAAUAAUCCUGUAGUCGAAAAUGUUGUCUCUCUUGAGUGGAUCCUGAGUACGACGGAGCACGUGAAAUUCCGUCGGAAUCUGGGAGGACCAUCUCCUAAGGCUAAAUACUCUCUAGUGACCGAUAGUGAACCAGUACCGUGAGGGAAAGGUGAAAAGCACCCCGGAAGGGGAGUGAAAUAGAACCUGAAACCGUGUGCUUACAAGUAGUCAGAGCCCGUUAAUGGGUGAUGGCGUGCCUUUUGUAGAAUGAACCGGCGAGUUACGAUUUGAUGCAAGGUUAAGCAGUAAAUGUGGAGCCGUAGCGAAAGCGAGUCUGAAUAGGGCGUUUAGUAUUUGGUCGUAGACCCGAAACCAGGUGAUCUACCCUUGGUCAGGUUGAAGUUCAGGUAACACUGAAUGGAGGACCGAACCGACUUACGUUGAAAAGUGAGCGGAUGAACUGAGGGUAGCGGAGAAAUUCCAAUCGAACCUGGAGAUAGCUGGUUCUCUCCGAAAUAGCUUUAGGGCUAGCCUCAAGUGAUGAUUAUUGGAGGUAGAGCACUGUUUGGACGAGGGGCCCCUCUCGGGUUACCGAAUUCAGACAAACUCCGAAUGCCAAUUAAUUUAACUUGGGAGUCAGAACAUGGGUGAUAAGGUCCGUGUUCGAAAGGGAAACAGCCCAGACCACCAGCUAAGGUCCCAAAAUAUAUGUUAAGUGGAAAAGGAUGUGGCGUUGCCCAGACAACUAGGAUGUUGGCUUAGAAGCAGCCAUCAUUUAAAGAGUGCGUAAUAGCUCACUAGUCGAGUGACACUGCGCCGAAAAUGUACCGGGGCUAAACAUAUUACCGAAGCUGUGGAUUGUCCUUUGGACAAUGGUAGGAGAGCGUUCUAAGGGCGUUGAAGCAUGAUCGUAAGGACAUGUGGAGCGCUUAGAAGUGAGAAUGCCGGUGUGAGUAGCGAAAGACGGGUGAGAAUCCCGUCCACCGAUUGACUAAGGUUUCCAGAGGAAGGCUCGUCCGCUCUGGGUUAGUCGGGUCCUAAGCUGAGG
rnacentral:rRNA from 1 species